GAUGAACGCUGGCGGCGUGCUUAACACAUGCAAGUCGAACGGGGAACCUUUUAUUGAAGCUUCGGCAGAUUUAGCUGGUUUCUAGUGGCGGACGGGUGAGUAACGCGUGGGUAACCUGCCUUAUACAGGUGGAUAACAGUCAGAAAUGGCUGCUAAUACCGCAUAAGCGCACAGAGCUGCAUGGCUCAGUGUGAAAAACUCCGGUGGUAUAAGAUGGACCCGCGUUGGAUUAGCUGGUUGGUGGGGUAACGGCCCACCAAGGCGACGAUCCAUAGCCGGCCCGAGAGGGUGAACGGCCACAUUGGGACUGAGACACGGCCCAGACUCCUACGGGAGGCAGCAGUGGGGAAUAUUGCACAAUGGGGGAAACCCCGAUGCAGCGACGCCGCGUGAAGGAAGAAGUAUCUCGGGAUGUAAACUUCUAUCAGCAGGGAAGAUAAUGACGGUACCUGACUAAGAAGCCCCGGCUAACUACGUG
rnacentral:rRNA from 1 species